rnacentral:rRNA from 1 species
UAGUNGCGAACGGGUGAGUAACACGUGGGCAAUCUGCCCUUCACUCUGGGACAAGCCCUGGAAACGGGGUCUAAUACCGGAUAAUACCUGCCUGGGCAUCUGGGUGGGUUGAAAGCUCCGGCGGUGAAGGAUGAGCCCGCGGCCUAUCAGCUUGUUGGUGAGGUAGUGGCUCACCAAGGCGACGACGGGUAGCCGGCCUGAGAGGGCGACCGGCCACACUGGGACUGAGACACGGCCCAGACUCCUACGGGAGGCAGCAGUGGGGAAUAUUGCACAAUGGGCGAAAGCCUGAUGCAGCGACGCCGCGUGAGGGAUGACGGCCUUCGGGUUGUAAACCUCUUUCAGCAGGGAAGAAGCGAAAGUGACGGUACCUGCAGAAGAAGCGCCGGCUAACUACGUGCCAGCAGCCGCGGUAAUACGUAGGGCGCAAGCGUUGUCCGGAAUUAUUGGGCGUAAAGAGCUCGUAGGCGGCUUGUCACGUCGGGUGUGAAAGCCCGGGGCUUAACCCCGGGUCUGCAUUCGAUACGGGCUAGCUAGAGUGUGGUAGGGGAGAUCGGAAUUCCU